ensembl:misc_RNA 7SK 7SK RNA
GGAUGUGAAGGGAUCUGGCUGAGCCUCUGUCUCCCCAGUGAUCUGAAUUAAUGCAACAGCUGAGCUGGUGUAUAGGCAGGUGUUCUCUCCUCCUCACUGUUCCCUGUGUGUCCCUCCUGAAGUUGUGCACUGGGUCAGAGAGGACAACCAUCCUCAGUAGGAGAGGACUGAGGAUGAAUAAAUAAAUAAACAAGCAAAUAAAUACACAAAUAAAUUGU